UACGGAGGUGGCAAGCGUUGCUCGGAAUCACUGGGCGUAAAGGGCGCGUAGGCGGGGAGGUAAGUCGGGUGUGAAAUCCCUCGGCCCAACCGAGGAACUGCGCCCGAGACUGCUUCUCUUGAGUCCCGGAGAGGAAGAUGGAAUUCCCGGUGUAGCGGUGAAAUGUGUAGAUAUCGGAAGGAACAUCAGUGGCGAAGGCGACUUCCUGGACCAAUACUGACGCUCAGGUGCGAAAGCGUGGGGAGCAAACAGG
rnacentral:rRNA from 1 species